CAGCAGCCACGGUAAUACGUAGGGUCCGAGCGUUGUCCGGAAUUAUUGGGCGUAAAGAGCUCGUAGGCGGUCUGUCGCGUCUGCCGUGAAAUCCUCAGGCUCAACCUGAGGCGUGCGGUGGGUACGGGCAGGCUAGAGUGCGGUAGGGGAGAAUGGAACUCCUGGUGUAGCGGUGGAAUGCGCAGAUAUCAGGAAGAACACCGAUGGCGAAGGCAGUUCUCUGGGCCGUAACUGACGCUGAGGAGCGAAAGCGUGGGGAGCGAACAGGAUUAGAUACCCCAGUAGUCCCUGUCUCUUAUAC
rnacentral:rRNA from 1 species